rnacentral:rRNA from 1 species
GACGAACGCUGGCGGCGUGCUUAACACAUGCAAGUCGUACGGUAAGGCCCUUUCGGGGGUACACGAGUGGCGCACGGGUGAGUAACACGUGAGUAACCUGCCCACAACUUUGGGAUAACGCUAGGAAACUGGUGCUAAUACUGGAUAUGUGCUCCUGCUGCAUGGUGGGGGUUGGAAAGCUCCGGCGGUUGUGGAUGGACUGGCGGCCUAUCAGCUUGUUGUUGGGGUAGUGGCCUACCAAGGCGGCGACGGGUAGCCGGCCUGAGAGGGUGACCGGCCACAUUGGGACUGAGAUACGGCCCAGACUCCUACGGGAGGCAGCAGUGGGGAAUAUUGCACAAUGGGCGCAAGCCGGAUGCAGCAACGCCGCGUGCGGGAUGACGGCCUUCGGGUUGUAAACCGCUUUCAGCAGGGACGAAGCUUUUUGUGACGGUACCUGCAGAAGAAGCACCGGCUAACUACGUG